AAACUUGUUAUUGACAAAGGCGAAAUGGCAAAAGCAAAAAGCAAUGGGCUCAUGGGGCAACCCUGCCAGGUGGAACAGUGAGGGUGAAAAUAUUCGGAUGGAAUAUUAUUUGAAUAUAGGAGCUUAAUACAUAAAAUAAAACUGUUACCAGAGCCGAAUCUCUCCAAGACAUAAAAUAGAUAAUUUCCCUCCAAUCGGUCAAAAGCCUUCUCUGCAUCCAUAGAGAUCAUUGCCUCGUUAAGAGCAGGCACAUCAUACCAUAUAUUGAGAAGGCGUUUAAGAUUAGAAAAGUAGUGCCUAUUCCGAAUUAACACGGUUUGAUCCGCAUUAAUAAUAGAAGGGAGAAGAGUUUCCAGACGUAAAGUCAUCAGUUUGGAUAAUAGUUUAAAGUCUAUAUUUAACGGACAAUACAAAGUGCAUGACAAAGUUGUCCUUUCCUUUUAUCAAAGGGAGAUAAAUUGAAGCUAGGUUGAGCGUUUGCAAGAGGCAGCCAGAUUCAAACAAUUUAUAGUCCGCUAUCUUGUAUCAACAUUUUUUGAAAAAAUUGUUAGGAUAAACAUCAAUCCCAAGGGUUUUCCCUUUUGUAGUGAUAACACUGCAACAUUUAAUUCCACAGUAGUAAUUGGUCUCUCUAACUCAACUGCAACAAACUGAUCGACCAAGGGGAUGUCCAGAUUGGCAAAAAAUUAUCAAGCUCAGGAGUAGAAAAAUGACAGGGUGAGUCUAGGGAUGCAUGGAAAUUUUUAAAAACAUUAUUGAUUUCGAGAUCAUCCGUAGCUAUACCCGAAUCGUAUUGAAUCUGCAGAAAAUAAUGGGAUGCGGAUAUCAGGCAUAGUUCAUGGGCGAAUAGUUUGCUAGCUUUAUCGCCAUGUUCAUAACACUGAGAUCUUGAACGGAGCAUUUGUUCACCAGCACGGUCUGUCGCCAGGAUGUCAAGUUCUGCCUGUAGAGAGAGCCCUUCCUUAUAAGUGUCUGGGUUUUGAGAGGUACUGUACGAAUUAUCUAACACAUGUAUGUAUUCUUUCAAACUAGUCAAUUUAUUCUUCCCGAGUGUUCUCUCAUUAUUUGUAGAGGAUGUUAUCUCCCCCUAAUGUACGCUUUCAGCGCCUCCCAGAGUACAUAGGCCUAUACCUCACACUUCUGGUAUUUGUAUUUCCAAAAUAGAGGCAGCCAGCUAGCAUGCCUCCUGGAUCAAAUCUGGGGGUAACUUCAAUAUUAAUGUUGUUGUCUACAAAUUCCGCCGCCCUUGCUGGACCAUCGAUUCUGUGGGUCUGGCCGUUGGCUAAAGUCGUCUGCAAUAUCAUCGGAAAGAGAUGACCAAACCUCACAGCAAAGGCAGCUCUGAACCAUGGCCGGGAGGAAGUCGGGAAACAUUGAUAUCCUCUUGCCUAAACGGGAUAGCCGUGAAGCCUCUCCCGCCCUUCGUAGGAUCUGUUUCCAGACUUGAAAUAAAUUCACUCGAGGAGGUUCGCCAUCUUUAGGCCUCGCACGCAGGAUCCUGUGAGCUCUGUUCAACAUGGGCUUGCUGUCAAACUUCAGCACCUCCUGUAAGAACCGAGCGGGGAACGCAGUUGGACGGGUGACAUCACACCCCCCGGAAGGCCAACCACUGGAAAUGUAUUCCACCUCCAGAUCAUCGCAUUUUUUAGAGAGGAGAUCCACUUGUUGACAAUAGCGCAGAGUUCGGUCAACUCGUUAGCAUUAGCAUUACCAGCGACCUCCAGGCUCGCGAUGGCCCCGCUAUGGGACGAGAAAAUGCUCUUGAAUUACUCCGUAACAGCCGCCAUCUCUCCUCUGACAACAGAUUUUAAGAUUGUCGUGGAUGUCGGCUCGCUUUUCGUCCAACGUCUGACUUGUGCUCCUCAAAGGGCCGAGGCGACGACCGACUCCUCCGCGAUAUCUGGAUCUGGAGACGCACGAGGCUCGGAGCAGUCUGGCUGGCGGGAGUUCUCUGGGCCGGACAUCGCGGAGUUCACAGGCGCCAUCCACAAAGAAGAAGCUGCAUGAGACAGAGGAGACGCUGACAGCGCACUCCAGACACGCCGCCGCGCUCAUCAAGCGGACCACGCCCACUCUCCGCCGCAGCUGGUGGCAGUCCACGCCUGACACACCUGUGAUUGAUGACGUGAAGUUGUAUAAAGGGACCAGUGGACCAAGGAUCCUCACGGGAACUUAGUUCUCGUUUGACGUACAUACUCUCCGUCGCCUGGAAAGAGAGCUGUGCGUCUCUCUUUUCCCCGCAUCUCCCUCUGGACUCUGACAGACUCCCUCAAUCCUCGACCCCACUUUGGACUCGGACCUCUUGACGCCCCUCUCAGCCCCACGGACCCCCGCUUGUAUCCCGGAUCACCUGCCUGUUCCCCUGGACGUUCCUUCGCUCUCAUCAACACUUUGGUAACACACACUUCAGUUAAUCUACACACAUAGUCUUACACCAUACACACUCUUGGGUUUUUGACACACACCAUUCUAUAGUUUGUUAGUAUUGUGAAGUGAAGUGAAGUGAAUUAUAUUUAUAUAGCGCUUUUCUCUAGUGACUCAAAGCGCUUUACAUAGUGAAACCCAAUAUCUAAGUUACAUUUAAACCAGUGUGGGUGGCACUGGGAGCAGGUGGGUAAAGCGUCUUGCCCAAGGGCACAACAGCAGUGACUAGGAUGGCUGAAGCGUCUACUAUUAUUAUUAUUAUUAGUAUUAUACUAUAUAUAUAUAUUAUUUACUAUAUAUAUAUUAAAUCUCUGUACACUACUGCCACCUGGUGUCUGUUUGCCAUCACCUCCACUCGUUAAACACAACAGUUUCAUUAAAAAUAAAACAACAUCUGUUUUAUAAUGAGACACAAUUGUGUCAAAGUCAUGAUUUUUUUUCAUGCUUGAAAUAAGAAGUGAUUACUUUGAAAAAGUAGUUUUAUAUUUGUGAGUGUUGAUGACACAACUUUGCAUCUGUCAGGUUUGUCCUUCACAGUUUGUCUAUGUCUUAGUUUUUCCUCUGCAUUUGUCUUUGUUUCCUGUCUUUAGUUCCUGUCCGCACUCAUGUUUUGGUUCCGUUUCCUGUUUGUCUCCCUGAGUGCUGUGUCCCCUCAGCUGUGACUGAUUGGCACCUGGCCACACCUGGUGUCAAUCAGCCAGAACUAUCUAGACCUGCUUUCUCCUCCAGUCAAGGCUGGAUUAUUGUCAUUACCUCUUGUCGCUCCUACCGGUUGAUUAUCGUUACCUCUUGUCGUGUCGUGUCAUGUCGUUUUCAGUGCGGUAAGCUGUUUCUGUUAGUUCUUAUAACUAUUUGCAGUUUGCUGUCUUCUAGCUCCUUGUUUUGUAUUUUCCUGUUAGUUGUUAGCUAUUCCCAGUUUUUCUGUUCCUAGUUCCUGUUUGCUGGUUCCUAUUCCCUGCUUCCAGUUUGUUUGUUCCUGCUUCCUGGUUUGUGUUUCUUCUUUAUUGUUACAUUUUUAGACAUUAAAUUAUGUUUACCUAUUCAAUGCCUGCCACCAUCUCUGCA